AAGGCGUCAGGACUCUUGGUUCUGGUUUUACGGCUCUACCUGUUUGCGUUCUCCAGCUGGAUGGCACCACCUGGCUGACCUUGUCUGCUUUUAAAAAGCUGAAUCUAUGGAAGACCACCAGGAGAUCCCAGGGAUGCUUCAGAUGAAAACAACUUAUAAUACAAUCUUAGGAAUAUCUACUCAAAACUAAGCUACAUUGAUUUUAAUACUUCUUACUCCCAGGUCUGUAGAGCCAAACAGCUUUAAAUCUUCCCAGUAAAAUCAGCAAACACAGCUCUUCUCCCAGAACAUCCAUCUUCCCAAUUUUUAUCACUGGCUGGUACUGGAUACAGAGUAUUCCACCAUCAGACAUGCCUUGCUCUUAUGAUAAAUGUUAUUGUCAUUACUUUGCAUUUGUUUUUACAAUUUUAUACAUAAACUCUGUGAUCUCUUCUGAAUGAUGAUCCUAGAUAUUUUUUAAAAAAUAAAAUGAAAUAAGACUUAAAUUCAGUGUUGUACAUUCAAAAAGUAAUCUUGAUGGUAUCAGUGAUUCCAUACCAUUAGAGUUUCCUCUCAAAUUAUCAUUUUUUGGGCUAAUACUGUUACUGUCACUGGCAGGCCUUUUAUUCCCAUUAGCUCCAUUGCAGAUUUGAGUCAGUUUCAAAUCUUACACUGUAUGGACCUUCUGUCCUUCUGAAGACAGUAUCAUCUACCCAUGAAUCUCAUCUUAUGACUGAAAUUUGCUAACACUGCCCAAUUACCAAAAUAAUGAUCCAUAUAAUGGUAAAGCAAACAGAGCUGAAAUAUUUUCUUACUUACUUGGAAGCAUAUCUCAUUGACUGAAUUGGGGCUUAUCUCUAACUAGAUAUAAAUAGGAUGAGAUAUUAUUUUAACUUUGUAUUGCAGUGAAACUUCCUUUAGAAUAAAUAUACAUUACUGUAUCAACAAUUUAGAGGAAAAUAAGUCCCACUUAUCUUGGUUGCAACUAUUUCUAACCAAACAUUGGACAGGUUGAAAUAAAGAACUGGUGGCAAGCCUAUAUCUGUCUCUUUUUGAUGGCAAGUAAUAUCCAGAUGUUUCACACUUAAACAUAUACAAGUUGGAUCUACAAGAAAAUAUAUCAGUAUCAAGUGUAUUUGUUCUGUGUUUCAGCCAAACAACCAUUCUGUUCAUGCCCUUUUCCUGGA